UUUUUUAAAUUGGGGUAGCCCCCAAAAUAUUGGGACAUAGUAAAAAGAAAAAAAGAAUAAGUGCACUUGAGUAUAACAAUGGCUGGGUGGGGUCGGUAUAAAUGUCUAUUCUGCACAAGGUACAGACAAGUCUGGUGGGAUACAUGCCUGGUUCAUUUUAAUAAACGUGAGCUUGUCCACGUUGGCCGUGGACAGGCGGCUGCGCUUGUCUGUGAUAACCUCGUGCCGAUCGCACGUCCCCGUGACGGCGACAACGCAUUCUGAUGUCUGCCCUAUCAACUUUCGCUGCAAUUUUCCGGGCCUACCAUGGUGACCACGGGUAACAGGGAAUCAGGGUUCGAUUCCAGAGAGGGAGCCUGAGAAACGGCUACCACAGGCAAGGAAGGAAGCAGGCACGCAAAUUACCCACUCCCGACGUAGAGAGGUAGUGACGACAAAUAACAAUACACUACUCUUUUGAGGCCCUGUAAUUGUAAUGAGUCCACUUUAAAUCCUUUAACUUGGAUCAAUUGGAGGCCACUAUCGCCUGCUGCUGCUCGCUGAAGCUGCAUCA